rnacentral:rRNA from 1 species
AGGGCACCACCAGGAGUGGAGCCUGCGGCUUAAUUUGACUCAACACGGGGAAACUUACCCGGCCUGGACACUGGAAGGAUUGACAGAUUGAGAGCUCUUUCUUGAUUCAGUGGGUGGUGGUGCAUGGCCGUUCUUAGUUGGUGGAGCGAUUUGUCUGGUUAAUUCCGAUAACGAACGAGACUCUAGCCUAUUAAAUAGGCUCCCGGCUUUUAAACGCCGGGAGGACUUCUUAGAGGGACAGGUGGCGGUUCAGCCGCACGAAAGAGAGCAAUAACAGGUCUGUGAUGCCCUUUGUUGUCCGGGGCCGCACGCGCGCUACACUGAAUAGAUCAGCGUGCUUUAUGUUCCUGCUCCGACCGGAGUGGGGAACCCAGUGAACCUUCUUCGUGAUUGGGAUAGAAGAUUGUAAUUAUUCUUCUUGAACGAGGAAUUCCCAGUAAAUGCGAGUCAUAAGCUCGCGUUGAUUACGUCCCUGCCCUUUGUACACACCGCCCCGUCGCUACUACCGAUUGAACGAUU